rnacentral:rRNA from 1 species
CCUACGGGUGGCAGCAGUGGGGAAUAUUGCGCAAUGGGCGAAAGCCUGACGCAGCGACGCCGCGUGAGGGAUGAAGGUCUUCGGAUCGUAAACCUCUGUCAGCAGGGAAGAACGGUCACUGUGCUAAUCAGCAGUGAAUUGACGGUACCUGCAAAGGAAGCACCGGCUAACUCCGUGCCAGCAGCCGCGGUAAUACGGAGGGUGCGAGCGUUAAUCGGAAAUACUGGGCGUAAAGCGCUCGUAGGCGGUAUGUCAAGUCAAGGGUGAAAUCCCCGCGCUCAACGUGGGAACUUCCUUUGAAACUGGCAAACUGGAGUGUGUGAGAGGAUAGUGGAAUUCCAGGUGUAGGAGUGAACUCCGUAGAUAUCUGGAGGAACAUCAGUGGCGAAGGCGACUAUCUGGCACAUAACUGACGCUGAGGAGCGAAAGCGUGGGUAGCAAACAGGAUUAGAUACCCCAGUAGUC